rnacentral:rRNA from 1 species
UACGUAGGGUGCGAGCGUUGUCCGGAAUUACUGGGCGUAAAGGGCUCGUAGGCGGCCAACUAAGUCGGACGUGAAAUCCCUCGGCUUAACCGGGGAACUGCGUCCGAUACUGGAUGGCUUGAGUUUGGGAGAGGGAUGCGGAAUUCCAGGUGUAGCGGUGAAAUGCGCAGAUAUCAGGAGGAACACCGGUGGCGAAGGCGGGUCUCUGGGCCGAAACUGACGCUGAGGAGCGAAAGCGUGGGGAGCAAACAGG